rnacentral:rRNA from 1 species
GACGAACGCUGGCGGCGUGCCUAAUACAUGCAAGUAGGACGCAGUUGCGAACGGGUGAGUAACGCGUAGGUAACUCCCCCUUAGAGGGGGAUAACUAAUGGAAACGAUAGCUAAUACCGCAUACUAGUAGAUGGACCUGCGUUGUAUUAGCUAGUGGGUAGGGUAAUGGCCUACAGAGGCAACGAUACAUAGCCGAACCGAGAGGGUGAUCGGCCAAGCUGGGACGGAGACACGGGCCAGACUCCUACGGGAGGCAGCAGUAGGGAAUCUUCGGAAAUGGGGGGAACCCUUACCGGGCAACGCCGCGGGAGUGAAGAAGGUUUUCGGAUCGUAAAGCUCUGUUGUUAAGGAAGCGGUACUUAACCAGAAAGGGACGGCUAACUACGUGCCAGCCGCCGCGGUAAUUC